GCCAGAUAAGGGAAGCAGGCCUCCGAAGCCAGCAGUGGCAACCCACUUGGGUCCCUUUCAAUGCUGUGGAAGCGUUGUUCUUUCACUCUUCUCAAUAAAUCUUGCUGCUGCUCACUCUUUGGGUCUGCCCCGCUGUUAUGAGCUGUAACACUCACAGCCAGUGUCUGCAGUUUCACUCCUGAAGCCAGCAAGACCACAAACCCACAGGGCGGGACAAACAACUCCGGACAGGAGGAAUGAACAACUCUGGACGCGCCACUUCUAUGAACUUUUAUGAACUGUAACACUCACCGCAAAGGUCUGCAGCUUCACCCCUGAGGCCAGGGAGACCACGAACCCACCGGAAGGAAUGAACAACUCCAGACGCACUGCCUUUAAGAGCUGUAACACUUACCACGGAUGUCUGCAGCUUCACUCCUGAAGUCAGCGAGACCACAAACCCAACAGAAGGAAGAAACUCCCGACACAUCUGAACAUCUGAAGGAACAAACUCUGGACACACCAUCUUUAAGAACUGUAACACUCACCGUGAGGGUCAACCGCUUCAUUCUUGAAGUCAGCCAGACCAAGAACCCACCAAUUCCGAGUCUCACUUUGUUGCCUAAGCUAGAGUGCAGCGUCGUGAUCAAGGCUCACUGCAGCCUCAACAUCCUGAUCCCCAGUGUUCCUCCCACCUCAACCUCCCAAGUAGCUGGGACCACAGUCUAUCUGAAUCAUGUUAUUGGACCAUGAGAGCAAGCAGCUGGAUCUCAUUCUGUCCAGGACUCCUGGAAACAGCAGCUCUAACAAAAUUGUCUUCAAUAAAUAAGUUUUUUUGCAUCACAUUUGUGUAUGUCCUGAAUGUUCUGAGCCCUUCAGAUUUGACUCAUAUUCAUGCUAAAAGAAAAAAUGCAAAUGAAAAUUGUAUAGCUAAUUAUGAGAAAAAUAAAGCAUCAUAAGAAAACCA
rnacentral:lncRNA from 1 species